AGACACUUAUACUCCAUUUGAUUACAAUAAAGUGCAACAUCAUAAGCUACUAGAUGUUAAAGAUCUUGAUAUUGUUAUUAAAGAAUUAACAACAAAUCAACAAUUGCCCUGUUCUGUAUGGCACAGACUAUAGGUCUACAGUUAGGAUUAUAUUAUCCCAGGCUAGUGGAUAUAGACAAGAAGAACAGAGGAGAUCCAGUGGACUGUUUUCAUGAGUGUAUGUCUGCCUGGUUAAGAGGAGAAGAUAAAGUAAGACAUCCCAGUGGGUCAUCAUUAGCUGCAGCACUGGAUACAAUAGAAGAAAAAAUUAUUGCUCGUAACAUUAGAGAUAAAUACUGCAUUCCUUCCUCAUAGCUAGUUUCAUGUGCUUUUGACAGUAAUAAUUCUGUUAAACUAGAAUUACUACAGAUAGUUUCAAACUGUGUUUAUCCUUAUGACUAUGUUUUGUCAUUUAAUGAAUAUUGCAUGUCUGCUAUAAAAGAAAACCUAAUUUUAUUUAUAUACUUUGUUUGUGUGGUAUAUAGUAUUAUUGAUUGUAGCACAUGAAGUAGUUGAGCAACAUUGAUUCUUGAUUGAAGUGAAGUUGUAGUAAAAAUUUGUGCCAAGACUUAAUAUUUUUGCAAACUUUUAACAAUGAUAAAUGGCAUCAAAUGCUUUGUUCACAAUACUUACAUUGUACCAGAAGUACUGGAUAAUGUAAUAAUGCAAUGCAAAAGUGGAAUGAGGAAAUUAUGAACAAGGCUAAGAGAGCAAGUGUAAGGUAGCUAGUGCUUUACAAUUAACCAUAGGGGUAGGAACAAACUAAAAGUUGGGGGGGCUAAGGUAUUAUUUAUUGGCAAUCAUAGGAGCAUGAUUUAACAAUUGAUCAUUGUACUGAAAUUAAUAUUGUCCAAAAUAUUGGCGUCUAUGCUCAUUAAAUGUAACAAAUUCCUUUGCAAUGUCCUCGAUGUAUAAAUUGUCUGUAAA